ACACGAAAUUGACAGCCAGUGACUGUGACAGUGUCUGAGUAAAGCGAAAGAGACACUGGUUUUUCGUUAUAUUCUGUUGAAAUGGUCUGAUUAAUAGUUAACGCCUGUGAGUACGUGGCCAAGAAGAUUGGCCGCGCUCUGGGCAUCACCAAAGACGAGGCAUCGCCUCAGAAAGCAGCAAGAUGUUCUGGUAAAGCGGGACAGGAGAAGUACCGACCUCUUGAUAACGAGAGCUCAAGUUUCCAGGAAAAUGGAUACUCUGAUGGAGUUACCCACAGAGAGAAGCAGGUGUGCACAAAAUCAACAGGAUGAGGUUAAAGAGAGGCAACUCCUGUUGCCCUAAAAGCCACUGAUUCUACUGCAGAUUUAUCUUUCUUGUUUCUACCUUUAUAAGUGUAACACAAGAUUUAUGAUAAGUCAGAUUUAAACAUGAUUUAUUUUAUGGAAUCUGACUGUGAUGUGGUGAUAAAAUCUGCUGCAGAAAAUAGUGCUUGUGAUGAAAUCAUCAGGACGUAAUUUCAUGUAUUUACAAAAAUGUACAGAACUUCUUAACAUUUAAUGAAUGGUUACUGACUCAGGAAAAAAUGCUUUGAUUUUGCUGAAUUUAUUUUAGAUGGUUGAUAUAUUUUAAGUUCUUUUAUUAGACUUUGAUUUGCAAUAAUCAUUCCAGACCUCUCUUUUCUUCUUGUUAGAUGCUACAGCGUACAUAGAUAAUUUGCUUUGUUAAAAUAUAGUGUUAAAUAUUGUAUAUAAUAUUUGUAAAGCAGUUAAAGAAUUAGUUUUCACAUGUUGCUAUGAAUUUAAAGCAAGAAAUUAUCCUGUUUAGUUGAUUUCAUGAUUGAAUACAUAUCACAUAUUAAACUAUUACAGUAAAACUUGCUUAUAAGUCCUGGGGACUUAGUUCAUUUCAACCAAAAUUCUUUAUAUUAAGAAAAUGCUGUGAAAUGAGGGAUGGAGAAAAAGAUAUAACUUCCUAAUAACUGAGAUUUCCUAAUAUCAGAGUUCCUUAUAAGUGAGUUUUACUGUAUUUAUUGCUGAAUUGUAUGACAUUAAGAAUGUACAUUUCUAAUUUUAUAUCUGGAACUUUUCUUGUUACAAUGGUUGGAAUGUAAUAUCAUAAAUCUAUUUUAUUGUUUUAUUCCAGAAUUGUCUAAAACAAGUGCGUAUGAUAAGAUAGAUAAAAACAUAUCUUAGAUAUGAUGUCUGUCUUUGAUGAUCCACACUUGGUGAAUGAAACAAUAAAAUAAUUUGGAUGUUCUUUUCA